GGUAUGCCAUAGUGCUCACUAGCACUUUGCAAUUGCCAAAGCCUAAAAAUAAACAUUAACACUGACUCCAAAUAUGCCUUCCUGAUAUACAUGCCCAUGGAGCUAUUUGGAAGAAAAGGGGAUUGCUAUAAAGAUAUCGGAAGACCGU